rnacentral:rRNA from 1 species
GGGGAAUAUUGGACAAUGGGCGAAAGCCUGAUCCAGCAAUGCCGCGUGAGUGAUGAAGGCCCUAGGGUUGUAAAGCUCUUUUACCCGGGAUGAUAAUGACAGUACCGGGAGAAUAAGCCCCGGCUAACUCCGUGCCAGCAGCCGCGGUAAUACGGAGGGGGCUAGCGUUGUUCGGAAUUACUGGGCGUAAAGCGCGCGUAGGCGGCUUUGUAAGUUAGAGGUGAAAGCCCGGGGCUCAACCCCGGAACUGCCUUUAAGACUGCAUCGCUUGAAUCCAGGAGAGGUGAGUGGAAUUCCGAGUGUAGAGGUGAAAUUCGUAGAUAUUCGGAAGAACACCAGUGGCGAAGGCGGCUCACUGGCCCGAUACUGACGCUGAGGCACGAAAGCGUGGGGAGCAAAC